GAUGAACGCUGGCGGCGUGCCUAAUACAUGCAAGUCGAGCGAACGGACGAGAAGCUUGCUUCUCUGAUGUUAGCGGCGGACGGGUGAGUAACACGUGGAUAACCUACCUAUAAGACUGGGAUAACUUCGGGAAACCGGAGCUAAUACCGGAUAAUAUUUUGAACCGCAUGGUUCAAAAGUAAAAGACGGUCCUGCUGUCACUUAUAGAUGGAUCCGCGCUGCAUUAGCUAGUUGGUAAGGUAACGGCUUACCAAGGCAACGAUGCAUAGCCGACCUGAGAGGGUGAUCGGCCACACUGGAACUGAGACACGGUCCAGACUCCUACGGGAGGCAGCAGUAGGGAAUCUUCCGCAAUGGGCGAAAGCCUGACGGAGCAACGCCGCGUGAGUGAUGAAGGUCUUCGGAUCGUAAAACUCUGUUAUUAGGGAAGAACAUAUGUGUAAGUAACUGUGCACAUCUUGACGGUACCUAAUCAGAAAGCCACGGCUAACUACGUG
rnacentral:rRNA from 1 species